UGCCAGCAGCCGCGGUAACACGGGGGGCGCAAGCGUUAUUCGGAAUUAUUGGGCGUAAAGGGCGCGCAGGCGGUCUUGUCAGUCAGGUGUGAAAGCCCUGGGCUCAACCCAGGAACUGCAUUCGAAACUGGCCAGCUUGAGUUCGGGAGAGGGAGGUGGAAUUCCUGGUGUAGAGGUGAAAUUCGUUGAUAUCAGGAGGAACACCGGCGGCGAAGGCGGCCUCCUGGCCCGAUACUGACGCUCAUGUGCGAAAGCGUGGGGAGCAAACAGGAUUAGAUA
rnacentral:rRNA from 1 species